UCUUAGUGUACUUGUCUAUGUCCAGCUACACAAGGAGAUGAGGAUGUUCAUUGUCAUUUUCUGAGCUCCGAACGGGCAGAAAGGUACACAAGGAGAUGAGGAUGGUCAUUGUCGUUUUCUGAGCUGCGAACGGGCAGAAAGCUACACAAGGAGAUGAGGAUGGUCAUUGUCUGUUUCUGAGCUGCAAACGGGCAGAAAGCUACACAAGGGGAUGAGGAUGGUCAUUGUCGUUUUCUGAGCUGCGAACGGGCAGAAAGCUACACAAGGAAACGAGGAUGGUCAUUGUCUGUUUCUGAGCUGCGAACGGGGAGAAAGCUACACAAGGUGAUGAGGAUGGUCUUUGUCGUUUUCUGAGCUGCGAACGUACAGAAAU